rnacentral:rRNA from 1 species
UACGAAGGGGGCUAGCGUUGCUCGGAUUGACUGGGCGUAAAGGGCGCGUAGGCGGUUUGCAUAGUCAGACGUGAAAUUCCUGGGCUUAACCUGGGGGCUGCGUUUGAUACAUGCAGGCUUGAGUUCGGAAGAGGGUCGUGGAAUUCCCAGUGUAGAGGUGAAAUUCGUAGAUAUUGGGAAGAACACCGGUGGCGAAGGCGGCGACCUGGUCCGAUACUGACGCUGAGGCGCGACAGCGUGGGGAGCAAACAGGAUU